rnacentral:siRNA from 1 species
AUAUUUUAGCCUUGUCGUCUCGGU